rnacentral:rRNA from 1 species
ACCUGCCCACUGAUUAAUUUAAUNGCCGCAGUAAUUUGACUGUGCAAAGGUAGCAUAAUCAUUAGUUUUUUAAUUGAAAGCUUGUAUGAAUGGUUGGACGAGAUAAAAUCUGUCUCUAUUUAAAUUAUUUUAGAAUUUUAUUUUUAAGUUAAAAAGCUUAAAUAUAUAUAAAAGACGAGAAGACCCUAUAGAUCUUUAUAUUUUUUUAUAUAAUUUUAUUAAAGAAUUUUUUAAUUUUUAUAUAUAUAAAUAUUUUAUUGGGGUAAUAAAAAGAUUUGUUAAAUUCUUUUUUUUAUUUGAUAUAGAUUAAUAGAUAUUUGAUCCAAUAUAUUUUGAUUAUAAGAUUAAGUUACCUUAGGGAUAACAGCGUAAUUUUUUUUGAGAGUUCAUAUCGAUAAAAAAGUUUGCGACCUCGAUGUUGGAUUAAAAAUUAUUUUAGGUGUAGAAGUCUAAAAAUCUGGUCUGUUCGACCAUUAAAUUUU